CGACCAAGGGAGGUGCUGGGAGAGAAUAACUGGUGGCCCCACUAGCCAAUGGGAGCCCAGAGCUUCACAGACCAGCCCUAUUCCCGCAGCCCGCCGGGCGUGGGCGGGGUCGCUGGCUGCUGUACUGGCUGGCACCUGAGGGUGCACAAAACCCGCUGCGAUCACACACCGGAGCAGGUGAGGGGGCCAAGUCAGAGAAAUGGGGCCCAGGAGGGCUAGGCCUGGAGUAGGGGUUGUGUUCUGGGUGCCAGAUCUGCUCUGGGAGACUUGGCCCUGGGUUUUUCGCUGGGUAUUGUGAGGCUCUGACCGGCAGAUUCUCCGCCCAAGCGUGGGAAGGAGUCACGCAGCAGUUUUGAACCCUGAGCAGCUGCCUGCAGCCAGGGGAUUUCUUGGGCCUGGGCCGCAGCUGUCCCAGGUCCUGAAGCCCUACGCUGAAGGUUGGCCCCUAUCCGCAUACACAGAAGAGGUCUGGAGCCUACACAUCUGAGAAGUUAGGGUUUCCACCUUUCUGAGACCUCACCCUGCACGGAAGGCUCAUGGAGCUCAGAGCACUGGGAGCUGGCCUCUGGAGGGUUGGCAGAUUCCUUCUGGACCUAUAGGGUGCCACUCCAGUCCAGCCACCAUGGCACAUGGCUUCACAGUGGGCUUCGACCCACCGGGUCUAGGAGAAGUCAGCUCUAGCUCUCUGAGCUCCCUCUCCUCCAGAGGCCACCUGGGCAGCGACUUCGGCUCCACCGCAACGCGAUACCUGUUGCGGAAGCAGCAGCGACUGCUGAAUGGGCCCCCCCGUGGAAUCCGAGCCUCAUCACCCAUGGGCCGUGUCAUUCUCAUCAACUCCCCCAUCGAAGCCAACAGUGAUGAAAGUGACAUCAUCCACGCAGUCCGGGUGGAGAAGAGCCCAGCAGGGAGGCUGGGUUUCAGCGUGCGGGGAGGCUCUGAGCAUGGCCUGGGCAUCUUUGUCAGCAAAGUAGAGGAGGGGAGCAGUGCAGAGCGGGCUGGCCUAUGUGUGGGGGACAAGAUCACAGAGGUGAAUGGACUGAGCCUGGAGAGCACCACCAUGGGCAGCGCAGUGAAGGUGCUGACGGGCAGCAGCCGCCUGCACAUGAUGGUACGGCGCAUGGGCCGGGUGCCAGGCAUCAAAUUCUCUAAGGAGAAAACCACGUGGGUGGAUGUGGUGAACCGGCGGCUGGUGGUGGAGAAGUGCAGUUCCACUCCAUCCAACAGCAGCUCGGAGGAUGGCGCGCGGCGCAUUGUCCACCUGUACACGACCUCUGAUGACUUCUGCUUGGGCUUCAACAUCCGAGGGGGCAAGGAGUUUGGCCUGGGCAUCUAUGUGUCCAAAGUGGACCAUGGUGGGCUAGCAGAGGAGAAUGGCAUCAAGGUGGGGGACCAAGUCUUGGCGGCCAACGGUGUCAGAUUCGACGACAUCAGCCACAGCCAAGCCGUGGAGGUGCUGAAAGGCCAAACACACAUCAUGUUGACCAUCAAGGAGACAGGCCGGUACCCUGCCUACAAGGAGAUGGUUUCUGAGUACUGUUGGCUGGACCGAUUGAGCAAUGGGGUGCUGCAGCAGCUGUCACCUGCCUCUGAGAGCAGCUCCAGUGUCUCCUCAUAUGCCUCCAGCGCCCCCUAUAGCUCAGGCUCCCUGCCCUCGGACCGCAUGGAUGUCUGCCUGGGGCCUGAUGACCUGGGCAGCCAAGGACCAGGUUGGGGGCGGGCGGACACAGCCAUGCAGACGGAGCCUGAUGUGGGGGGCCGUGUGGAGACUUGGUGUAGCGUGCGGCCCACAGUCAUCCUCAGAGACACAGCCAUCCGUUCUGAAGGACCCCCUCCUGCCCGCCGCCUUGACUCCGCCCUCUCAGAGUCCCCCAAGACUGCUUUGCUGCUGGCCCUUAGCCGACCCCGGCCCCCCAUCACACGUUCCCAGAGCCACCUGACCCUAUGGGCCCCCCGGGUGCUCCCUCGUGUCUGCAGAGGAGAAGAAACAGCGGAAGAAGGAGAAGUCGGGGUCCCCUGGGGAGAAGGGGGCCCUGCAGCGCUCCAAGACUCUGAUGAACCUCUUCUUCAAGGGAGGGCGGCAGGGGCGGCUUGCAGGGGAUGGGCGCAGAGAGGCCUGGACACUGGACAGCAGGAGCCCAGCCAAAGCCCGCCCUCGCCUGGACCUGGAGAAAGCUCCCAGGACACUGCUGUCUCCUGGUUCUCAGCUCACCUCUCUGGUCACUCUUAUCUAUCUUUUGAAGGUUCCUCUUUUCUCCUCUGACCCUUGAAGCAGGGGGAGUUGGGCCUGUACAGAAGUUUGUCACCUGGAGAUUGAGACGUGACCGGGAGAGGAGCCAGGCCCUGAUCUCUGCCAGGUCCGGGAGCCCCUCUAGCCAGCUGCCCAAUGAGCAGGUGCAGGCCUGGGAGAGCCGGCGGCCACUCAUUCAGGACCUGGCCCGGCGGCUGCUGACAGAUGAUGAGGUGCUGGCAGUCACCCGUCACUGCUCACGGGUAAGCCCCCAGCCCUCCUAUAGCUGUGGCCCACAGUGGCUCACUCACCUAGCCCCUUAUACAUUCAGGCUACUGUCCAUUGAGCAGAACCUGGGCUUGAUUCUGAGAGGCCAGCAGUCAGUAAAAGAAAAAUACACCUCUCUCUCUCUCUCUCUCUCUCUCACACACACACACACACACACACACACACACACAUACACACACACAGAGCAAUCUCACAGGAAAGGGAGCUAUAUGAUAACUAGAUCCUAAACACCCCUAGUAAAAAAUCACUCAAGAUGCUGUGAAGGAGAAAAACAUAAAAGAUAACCCCGGAGAGGUACACAUUAGGUGGCAUGGUCUAGGAAGGUCUCCUCGAGGAGGUGACAUUUAAACCGAGGAGAAGAGAGAAGGUGAACAGGUGAUGAGGGGGUGGAAGUGAGUCCCUUAGACUCCCUCUAAGCCCCCACCCAGCCUUAUCCCCCUUGUCAUCUUUUAUUCCUGGGACAGUCAGUAGAUCCAGCCCUAUGCAAAGUCCCCUUUUUCUUUUUUUUUUUUAACAAAAGAAAAACAAAGUCCCCUUCCGUUACCCAAGUAACUAAGUUACUUACUUACCCAUGUAAGCCAUCUUACACCAUUAUUCUGUUCUCUUCUACUUGAAACAGAACCCAAGGACCCUAGGGCAGGGUGGGUGUCAGCUUUUGAGGAGUCCCUAAAGCCUGAAUGUUGGGGAGGCUGUGUGGUGCAGCUCGCCCCCUCUAAGAGAACUGGAAGAUUCUGUCCUAUCCCUUGUCUCAGGAAUCCCUGGAGUUCUGUGGGUUCUGCACAGCUUGUGCAGGCUGAGGGGUUUCAGAGAGUCAUGUGCAGAUUCCUCCAACCCACCUUGCUCAGAGUGAUGUUGUAUAUCAGUGUAAUAUCUGCAUUGGCAUGUCCGGGGGCUACCUGGUUUAUGUCAACACGACUGCAUGAUUUUAUCUAUGUAUGGGCUUGUAUGUAUCUGGCUAGUGCAUGUGUGUGUCCAGGUAUUGUCACCUGGACCCUAAGAUGUGGUCAUUCAUGUAUCCCUUUACUAAGGCCUGGUUCACAGUAGAGCUGCAGAUGGGGGUGCAUGUUGGGAGGCAGCUACUGGACUCAGAAUUAAACUCAGUAGGUGUCACACAGCUCUGAGUGCUAAGUACAGCUGUUAUUCACCAACCUCCAGGGAUCUUGUACCUCUGGGAUAUGGCCACUAGGUGGGGUUCUGUGUCUGUUUCUUUGGCCAAUGCCUUUCCCCCUCAUUCCUCCACUCUGCAGCCCUCAAGUCAGGACAUGUACUCACUUUGUCCCCAUAUCACCUGCAGGCUCUACAUACUGCCUGACCCAGUCCCCUCCACCACCCUCUGGGAUGAAUCCAGCCCUCAGGGAUCGAUAAAGUUCCUCUGAUGCCUGGGCUAUAAAGCCCUGAACCUCAGGCCUCCCUUUUCUCUCCCCUCUGAGCCAUUGCUACACAGCCAUGAGACCAAAAUACCUCUGUGCUCACUCCAUGGUGCCCAAGCCACCUCUUGACCACUUAUAUUUGGCAGAAUAGAAUAUAAGUUGCUUAUAUUACAUUUAAGGCCCUCUCUGAGGUCACCUCUCAACACCUUUCCCAUUGUCUUCCAUGGCCACCACUUUGGCCUGAACAGGUUACGAACUAAGCAACUUCAGGGAGGACAAGUCACAGCGCUCACCACUGUGCAGCCCUACGUGGAGGCUCCUUGUGGACCCCAUAGCCACACUAAACCUGUUUACUCAUUGUUCCUCUUCGCCUUUGGAGCACUUGCCUCCCUGAUCUUUUCUUUCAGAGUCUGAGUAAAGGCCACCAUCUCCAGGAAGCCCACUCAGAACCUCCACUUCUGAAACCACCGUUGCCCUACUGCCAGGGAUUUAUGGUUCAUUUGCCCUUUGUUCCCACUAGACUGAGUUUCCGAGGAUUGGGGACAGGGGUCUUCAUUAUUUUGUCUCCACUGCCCAGUACAGGGCCUGGAUGCUGCAUGAUUUGUGGACUUGAUGUAUGUACACACAUGUGGCUGUUUCCUGGGUCAUUUGCAUGUCUUUCUUCAGACAACAAGGAGUGUAUUGUGGUUUGUGUAUGUAUGAAUCCCUGUGACUGCGUGAGGUUUAGGGCCACACACGAAGUUUUUAUUUAUUUCCAGCUAUUUAUGAAUGGAAAUGACUCACUCUGACCACCAGAGGAUGCGCUCUCUCUGUCUAUGCCCAUAAAAGAGGUUCUCUGUGUGCAUGUCCCUGAAUCUGUCUCCCUUUCGCCACCAGGGGGCAGUGUUCUGCCCAAGUAGGGUGGCUCCCAGUGUUCAGUUCUCCAGUCUGUGGGGUGUGGCAUCCGCGUUGGUGGCAUCCAGGCAGUGCCAGGCAGAAGGGUACUGACUGGAGAAGCUUUUUGAGGAGCCACCCCUUCCCCAAGGUCCCCAUUCCAGCUCCAAACAAAGGGUCAGGCCCACAGCUUAGUGUUGGGCUCAAAUUCCUUCCUUCUGUCAGGAGGUGGGGGUGGGGAGGAGAGUGGGCUCCCUGCUCAUCCUUUAAUGCCACCAGAGCAGAGAAGAGCCAGACAUCUCCGGUUGCAGUCCUUCCUCACAUUUCCUUAUCUGUGUUGCUUUGAGCAAACUCCCCUCUGAGCCUCAGUUUACUCAUUCAUAAAAUAGAAAUAGUUAAUGUCAUCUCUCAGGGUGGUUAAGUGAGAAGCCAUAUGUAAAAGGCUUAGAAAAGUGUCUGUCCCAAAGCUAUUAUUGUUCCUGCCAUUUAUUAUGGAUCUGUUACUACUUCAGGCUUCCACAAGGUCACCAAGAUAAGACCAUCCUCUAGACCCUGGGGUGGAGUGAACAUUUCCCAA